UGCACGAAUUUAUGAUGGCCUGCUUACUCUUACCGAAAAUAUGACGUUUGAGCGGUGCCGGCACCUCCCAAUCGUCAAAUUUUCUGUGAGAACAAGCAGGUCAGCAUAAAUUCGUGCAGUGGACCAUUAGUUGUUUUCUUGGUAACAAAAAUAAGGGUAAAAUUAGUUGUUUAUUUCAAAAUAGCUAAAUAAAAAAGUUUUCUGCAAUGAAACUAAUUGUAAACAAAAUUCAAGUAUUUCAAGUAUUAUGGUAAUCGAUUAUUAUUGACCCAAAAUCGAAACUGUUGGAUGGUAAGUAUUCAACAGCAUUGCGGUGUUUGCUGACUCUAAGUUCCUUCUCGGAAAUCGCAAUGCAAGGCUCAAAAUUCAUUUAACUAGUGGUGUAUGAUCUUUGUCCUAUUCUGUUGCGACAUUGUCGUUAUUGUUGCGCGAUGGAUGAAUUUUGAUUCACUGUCAUUUACUAAAUCACAAACAAAUGGCAUAUUUUGUUAUGGUGUCACCUUAUGCUAUUGGCAUGUUAUUUUAACCUUUUUCGUGCAUUAGCUAACGCUUACCACGCUGGCAUAGUGCACGCUACACGUACAUUCGAGAAUACACCAUGAAUAUUGUCAAUUUGGAAAUGUGACAGCAACAUACAAUAUAUCUGUGAUACAAACAAUUUUUAGCACAUUCACUUCAUGUACUAUUUUGCCUUCAUUGCACAAUGGUCCGAAUCCACGUUUUAGCAGGAAAAAAAUCCGUAUCUCUGUUUUCGUUAAUUUUAGGCAUUUGGUGUCUUCAGAGAAGUUGUUUGAAUUUGUUUGCUGCAUCUUUUCUAAAAAUUUUUGAUUAGGGUGGUCCGCGUCUUAACUCAAAUCUGGAAUAGAACUUUUAAAUUUAAAGUCAUACGCGAUCGAGUUCUUCAGCAAAGUUGUAGGCAAUGCUAUUUUGAGCAACUUUGCCGAAUACGCCGUUUAUCUAGCUCCUAAUUUGAACAUAGUAGGUCAACUUUAAGUUUUGACUUAGGGUGAGCCACCCAAAAACGGUUUUUUCGCAAUAACUUUUUUAUUUGAUUUUUUUCGAAGAUGUGAGCUUCGGAGCAUUUGAAGACCAAGUAAUGACGCAUAUUUGUUCGGAACAUUGCACGUUGCUAAGUCUUGUCAUUCAAAUGUUAUGGGCAAUUUUGACUUAAAAUCAACGAUGUCUUCAAAUGCUUAUAUCUCUAGGAGCUGGUAAAAUAAAAAAAGUUUUUUAAGCGGCAUUUGGAAGGUCACAUAUAAAGCUAAAUUUGGAGCAAAUAUUACAAGAACGUUAUUUUUUAAAUUGGAAUAAAUCGACUCCAAAAAUCUCCUUAAAAAAUCGAAAACUACUUAUAACUCAUACAAUUUUAAAGAUAGAGUCAAACUGUCUUCGGAAAAUAUGUAGGUUUUUACCAUGCCUACAAGUUUUCCAUACACCAUUUUUUUGUAAAACGUGAAACAAAAGCUUGAAAUUGAUAAUUUGAUUCUUAGGGGUACAUGCUAUGUUUUUCUAGGAAAUCAGAACGAUUAUAUUCUUUAAAAACAAAUUAUCAAUUUCAAGCUUUUGUUUCACGUUUUACAAAAAAGUCGUGUAUGGGAAACUUUUAGGUAUGGUGAAAACCCACAUUUUUCCCGAAGACAGUUUGACUCUAUCUUUAAAAUUGUAUGAGUUAUAAGUAGUUUUUCGAUUUUUCAAGGGGAUUUUUGGAGUCGAUUUAUUCCAAUUUAAAAAAUAACGUUCUUGUAAUAUUUGCUUCAAAUUUGGCUUUAUAUGUGACCUUCCAAAUGCCGCUUAAAAAACUUUUUUUAUUUUACCAGUUCCAUGAGAUAUAAGCAUUUGAAGACAUCGUUGUUUUUAAGUCAAAAUUGCCCAUAACAUAUGAAUGACAAGGCCUAGCAACAUGCAAUGUUCAGAACAAAUAUGCGUCAUUACUUGCUCUUCAAAUGCUCCGAAGCUCACAUCUUCGAAAAAAAUCAAAUAAAAAAGUUAUUGCGAAAAAACCGUUUUUGGGGGGCUCACCCUAAGUCAAAACUUAAAGUUGACCUACUAUGUUCAAAUUAAGAGUUAGAUAAAUGGCGUAUUCAGCAAAGUUGCUCGAAAUAGCAUUGCCUACAACUUUUCUGAAGAACUCGAUCGCGUAUGACUUAAAAUUAAAAAAUUCUUUUCCAGAUUUGAGUUAGGACGUGGACCACCCUAAUCAAAAAGUUUUGGAAAAGAUGCAGCAAACAAAUGCAAACAACUUCUCUGAAGACACCAAACGCCUAAAAUUAACGAAAACAGAGAUACAGAUUUUUUUCCUGCUAAAACGUAGAUUCGGACCAUUGUGCAUUGGUUGUACAUGUUUUGAUGUACCAUACUACGUGGGAAUUUUCCAAUAAGUGUGUGCGGAUUUGCCUGAGUGAAUGAUUCAAUCAGAAGUUUGUCAGAACGGAUCAGAUGGAAUGUAAACCUCUUCUCGCCAUCCGGGCAGACCGAAUGCAGUUGCCGGCAGUCCAGUAUCUGAUAAGAAAGUAGAGUAGGAUUGGUGAAGCGAUCACAGCCUUGCAUGGACGCUUCGCAGAUCGGGUGACCUUCCCCGAGAUCUCGAACUGGUGGCUUGGAAGGUAAACAUGGUACUCAAGCGCAAAAACUCAUAGGCCAUAAUCUCAUUUGCCUGUCUUCGAUCACCUACGGUAACCCAAUGCUUUUACUUAUACCGACCAUGUCAAUGGACACAAUUUAAAAAACGCAUCAGUCAGAUCCUUGCUGAUCUGCCCGGUUUUCAACCGUUUGCCUUUGCGUCGGAAGAAAACAACAUAAACCCACCAAAGUCGUGAGGGUAGGUCUUGAGGCGGGAGGACGUUGAAGGUAGUGCAUUAUUGGCGUCCAUUGGAGAGACACGAUAUUGAGGGGUGGCAAAGGGGUUGGCGUUGUUAGUAUUUUGCUGGCUCGGUGCACCCGAUGACAACAGCAAGACCUUAUUGAUGGGAUACGACGUACCCCCGUACUGACUAUCAUCGCAUAACUGUCCCAUAUGAAUAGGAAAUCCAGCAAAUAUGGGACUGAUAUGCGAUCAUAAGCAUCGUAUAUCUUGCGAAAUGUGAGUCGUAGAUUCGAUUCCCACAGGAGCACGUGGAUUUGUUUUCGCAAUUUAAAUCUCAAUUUGUUCAUCAAACACCCGUUGCGCUGGUGUAAUAUAUGAAUGUCAAAGCAUUUCAAACAUUGUAAUUUAAGCUUGGUGUUAGCCCAAGUUAAAAAUUCGAGAAGUUUACACUGAGGAUACUGAUCAUAUGAUUUUCAUAGUUUGCAUCUUAUGAAUCAGUAAUUUUUAUUUUUUUCAUCAUUUCAUAGUUCUCGUAUGCUUUUCAUACAUUGAAAAGCGAAAUCCAUAAGACUUGUCGUAUGAAAAAUCUCAUAAGAAGCAUCGUAUGAAAAUCAUAAGAUAUGUUAUGAAACACCAUUGCUAAAAAACAACAAAACCCUUUUAUUGGCUUCUAACCACUUCAACUUCCGAAGCGUCGAUGGGCGAAUGAGUAAAGCACGCACUCGCCAACCUUGACGUUCCUGGUUCGAUUCCAGGUUGCGAUUUUUUUUUAAUUUGUGCAAAAUAUUUCAUAGAAGUAUGUAUGAUAGUCAUACGACAUAAUUUCAGAUUUUAUACGUUAUCGGUAUGGUUUUCAUACGUGAGUGUUAUGAAAUUUAUACAGUAACAGUAUGACAAUAAUAGUUAGUGCUUUGAAUUCAAAAUCAUAGUUCGUAACUAUGAUUUUUGCAAGAAAUUCUUGUGGCAAAAAAUCAUAGUUGAUUCGUAUGAUUUUCAGAGUUGCAGUAUCCUCAGUGUACAUUUGCCUACAUCAGUAGUUUUAAAAGUGUAACGUAUAGGGUGGGGCGGGGCUAGAUGGGUCGCAUAAGGAUGGAUCACCAUAACUUUGUAAAUACAAAUCGUAUUGGUUUGUAUUCGUCCGCUACUCUUUAAUACACUAGUUAGCUAUGCUAAAAGUCGAUAAAAAGUUCAUUAAAUACAAAAUAUGAUGUUAAACGAGCAGUUUUAAAAAGUGAUCGAUUUUGCACCGUGUAAAAAGUGCGGGGCAAGAUGGGUCACCUUUUAAGUAAUUCACAUUUUCUCAACGAAAAACUUCAACAUAUAAGAUUUGUUCCGCAUUCAUAUAUGCUCCAUAUCCAUACUGAAUAAACAAGAGCUACUAGUAAACAUUUUAUAGAUUUAUUUGGAAUAUAAAAAACUACGAUUUGAGUGGUCCUAAGGCGUCUUGAAAAUCGAUGUUUUCACUAAAAAAAUAUCAUAAUUUUAUGUUAUAAUUUUGAGUGUUCAUUCCGCUUGAUUGAAGUCAUUUAUGAAAUAGUCUUGUAAUAAAAAAUAAAUAGCUUUUGAAUGCUCCAAAAAUACGUUUAAAAUUGAAGGUGACCCAUCUUGCCCCGCGGCCAUUUAUAUGGAGAUUAUAUGGAAUGUAUCGCAUAAGAAAAAUGGCUAAAAACCAUUUUAUUUUUUAUUUCCAAUGACAGUGAAUAAUUUUUCAAUCAAUGCCCCAAACUUUUGUAUAUUCAUGCUGGUCAUCUAACAAAAUUAUUAAUCUAAACAAAACAUGAGUAAUGCGCCCAAAAAUGGCACUAACCCAUCUUGCCCCGCCCCACCCUACAUAAAAGUGAACUCUGUUUUCAGUAAAGUCUCUCUGCCAUUAUGGACAUACUAGAACAUCUCGAACACCAAGAAGUUAAAACAAAUAAAUGGAACACCAAUAGGUACUGUAGCGGUCAAUACUGCAUUUGGAUAAUAAAAACGAAAUAAAAAAAACUUGCGAGAUUCAAACACAGGUAGGGGUAGGCGGGGCAUAAUGAGCAGGUGGGGCAUAAUGAGCACCUUGUAUUUUCACUGUAAAUCUUCAAAUUAACAAAACAAAUUGCUUGAUUGUAGCCUUAUUAUCUAAAAUCCAAUGAGUUGAUGACAAAACAUUAGUCAAAAAAUCCGUUUACCUUGAAAAAAAUUAUCAAAAUGCGUAAAGUGGUCAUGUACUGGGAAAAUAUUAUAAGAAUCAGGUGACCUAAAAUAAGGUUUUGGGUAUCGAAAUCAUAACUUAGUGGGCAUCUAUCGAUUUUCUUGAUAUUCCCUAGGCCAAUGAAAUGUAUUUGUAACACUUUUCAACUAUUUGUAUAAUUAUUUGGUUGAAAAAAUAUGCUUCAAAGAGUUGGUAGUAGGGUGGGGCAGAAUGAGCAACUAGUGAUAAAAUAAUGAAAAUGGUGAACAUCUUCAACAAACAAAUUUUAAUUUUGGUUUUCUCUGUUUUGAUGCAUAUAGUAUGGUUUUGUUUGUAAGAGUUCAAAUUUUUCUGUCACGGUUUUUUUUUUCGUUCUCGUGAAUUAUUUAUUUGUUCAGCAAAAUCUCAUUACAGCUAGGAAAUCGUCUGUCACUUUUUCCUCGAUGAUACGUGGUAUUCCGUUCGGCCGAUAGAUUUGCAAAACGGCUGGUAGUGCUUUGCCCCCGAUAGUUUCCGCGAGUAUUGUUUCAGUUCCGAUCAGUUCCAGUUUUAAUCGCCAUUAAAUAUCGGUUACAUGAAGUAUAAUCACGAAGUGUUUGGCACAUAGCAUAAACUGAAAAACCGAUUUGAAGAUACAUGAGUGACGUGUGUGUUGAGUUCUAGUGCCUGAAGACAACUGCGACGUAAACUAAUAAUGCUAUAAUGAAACCGCAAGUGCACAGGGACUUUCAAAUAACCAUUUUUUGGUUGAUGUGUGAUAGUGCUUGAAACAAUCCCGCUGUAUUACCGACGAUAAAACCACCGACUGUCGGUAAUAAAACGAUAGAGCUCAUGUUGUGAUACGAUCUUGCUGAGUGAAAAUGGGCAAGGAUCGGACCGGCUAGCAACAUUCAUACGCCACAAAUUAGCAAUUUAGUGUACAAACCGUUUAUUUCUCAUGCCUUCAAACAUUUGUUUCCUUCUUCCUAAUCCCUACUUCUAUCUGCUUUCUUCCUCAUCUGUUUCAUUUCUCUUCGGUACUCACGGAUUUCUUCUCGGGUGCACCCAUCUUCUUCGCCGAAACUGCUCUUCUUUGCUCCGCCUCACGCACCUGCAUCAUCGCGGUUCUGUCGAAGUGCUCACCAGCUCGCUUCCGCACUGCUGCGUUGGCCUCGCCUCCAGGCCGUUCUGCGAAACCGGAAUCGUGUUCCCGGUCACUGUGCAGUCUCCUCUCCUGCUUUGCGCUCGACGCUGCCGGCCUCGAUAUGUGCAGUCGCGAUCGUGUCUCGUCCUUCCCUGAACCAGCGUGAAUCGAUCCUCACGGCCGUGCCGUUUUGACGCAGUUUUAGGCUGUGGAAGAAAAGCCCUACCCAUACAUUCCGUUAGUGACUUGAAGUGCUGCAGAAGCUCGGCUAACGCGAGUGUGGCCCACUUACUUCUCCGUGAAGGCUUUUCUAGCUACAUCCAGCUCUCGAUGCUGCCCGGAGAACGAUCCGCCAAUCUUCAAGAUUGUUUUGCGAAGAAGCGUAGUUGAUCUGCGCAAAGAAUAAUGGUGUCAUUCGUCAUACACAUCACUGGUCUACUAACGACUCACCAGGUUCCAGUGCCGCUUUCCGCACAAUUUGGGAUGAUGCUGCUUUGCUCCGUCUAUCGUGCAACUAGAAUGCCAAUCGUUGCACCGCUGGGGCAGUGCUGUCGUCGUCUCUCCGAUGAUGUCUGCCGGACGCUGUCGCUUGGAUCGCAAUUUAGAACGUCCACGCACUCAAAUUGUACCCGUCGCACAAGGUUACGCUCGUUUCCAAGCUGAAAAACACGAUAUCAUUUCGUAAGCUGGUAUUUUCCCCGAAUCACUGGUAGAUUUCUCUCACCUGCGCAUUCACACUCGCCGGGAACAGUUUUGGCCUAGAUUCCCCGGGUGUUCCUCCCGUGAUAGUUCUGCACGUGUCCGGUUGUCCAAAGAUGCACGAUGAUCGCCCCCGUAGCCACUUGGCCUUGCUCGUCGCGGGUUUACUUUCUGGAGGAAAAUAAUUUGUGAGCCGAUUGUCCUUGUUGGUUGGACAGCGAGGACUCACCUGUUCGGAACCACGCCGGGUUUUCGUGGUGUGCUCUCGAGAUGCAGAAGUUUGCUAUUUCGCGGAUGCUGGUCCCUUGCAGCGGACAAUUGACGGGCUCAAGUUGUGGGUGGCUUCUGAUUCACGCACUCUUCAUGCACUCCGAGUGAUGCCCUGCAACUUCACUCGCACCGAACGGUUUUCACUGUUAUCGACGGACAACACUUUACAGCACUCCGGCAUGCAACUCCACUAUCUUCACUGUUCGGUCGAUGCUGAUGUUCGUGUGCAGUGAGGCGAAGCGGAUGUAGCUGCUGUUCGUUCAGUGGACGAUGACAGGAAAAUUUUUCCCCUGUCCUUCGUUAUCAAGCGAGUGUUCCCAGUGAGUUUGUGUUCGACGUUUGGGAUUUGAAUUUGGGGUUUGCACACGAAACACAAAGGGCUCAAAAUAGGCUAAUAUUUUAUCUAACGUAACACAACCUUACCACAGGCGCAGAGUUUUUUGUGAGCGCUGGCAGGCAGCUCACAAAAAACUCUCAGACUCACUUCUACAAGAAGUCGCAGAGAGACUGGAGCAGAUCUGAGGGUUAUCGCUUGAGCAGACCUCAAGGUGUUGAUAACUGCAGCAAAACUAACAAACGCGAACCUUGUUGUUCGCCAGAUCCAAAAGCUCAAAACAUAAUCAAAACAAACAUAACGGCAGCAAGUCCUGCCAAAGGUGAUCUGAACGCUCACAAAUGAGCAAAUGUCUCUGCGCUAGUUCUUGUCCCAUCUUCUGUGCUAUGCCGUUCCUGUGGCAAAACACUCAGUAUGAUCUAUUCUAGUUUUAAGAGCUACAAUAAAACUAAAGAUCAAAACAUGUAACGAAAAUUACGGCUAGUGUUGGCUAAUAUAUGAACGUUUACAGUGGAUGUUGUCAGUCACGAUUGAGUAAAGGUCGGAUUUGGUCGUCCUGAAUCA